UGGGGAAUAUUGGACAAUGGGCGCAAGCCUGAUCCAGCAAUGCCGCGUGUGUGAAGAAGGCCUUCGGGUUGUAAAGCACUUUUAUCGGGAGCGAAAAGCACGUGGUUAAUACCCGCGUGUCAUGACGGUACCCGAUGAAUAAGCACCGGCUAACUUCGUGCCAGCAGCCGCGGUAAUACGAAGGGUGCAAGCGUUAAUCGGAAUUACUGGGCGUAAAGCGUGCGUAGGUGGUCUUUUAAGUCCGUUGUGAAAGCCCUGGGCUCAACCUGGGAAUGGCAGUGGAUACUGGAAGGCUGGAGUACGGUAGAGGAGGGUGGAAUUCCCGGUGUAGCGGUGAAAUGCGUAGAGAUCGGGAGGAACAUCAGUGGCGAAGGCGGUCCUCUGGACCAGUACUGACGCUGAGGCACGAAAGCGUGGGGAGCAAACAGGAUUAGAUACCCUGGUAGUCCACGCCCUAAACGAUGCGAACUGGACGUUGGGCACAACUCGGUGCUCAGUGUACG
rnacentral:rRNA from 1 species